AUUGAACGCUGGCGGCAGGCCUAACACAUGCAAGUCGAACGGUAACAGGAAGCAGCUUGCUGCUUUGCUGACGAGUGGCGGACGGGUGAGUAAUGUCUGGGAAACUGCCCUAUGGAGGGGGAUAACUACUGGAAACGGUAGCUAAUACCGCAUAACGUCGCAAGACCAAAGAGGGGGACCUUAGGGCCUCUUGCCAUCGGAUGUGCCCAGAUGGGAUUAGCUAGUAGGUGGGGUAACGGCUCACCUAGGCGACGAUCCCUAGCUGGUCUGAGAGGAUGACCAGCCACACUGGAACUGAGACACGGUCCAGACUCCUACGGGAGGCAGCAGUGGGGAAUAUUGCACAAUGGGCGCAAGCCUGAUGCAGCCAUGCCGCGUGUAUGAAGAAGGCCUUCGGGUUGUAAAGUACUUUCAGCGGGGAGGAAGGGAGUAAAGUUAAUACCUUUGCUCAUUGACGUUACCCGCAGAAGAAGCACCGGCUAACUCCGUG
rnacentral:rRNA from 1 species